rnacentral:misc_RNA from 1 species
CGGUGGUGAUGCCCAUGGUGGUUAUAAUCCGAUGAAUUCUCUGGUGACCACCUCCUGUGAUGCCUAUGACACCCAUCAGAAUCAGACAUCUGCUCAUGGGGGUGGUGGCGGCGACGCUUGGAUUUCCUGUGGCUCUUCCUCCUCUCUUCAGAAUCUGAAGACAAAUCAUCUUCACUUGAUCGGUGAUGGCGGUGGCAUUUG